UCGACGUUUCAGCCAAACUUCAUGGCUUUCAUCAGGAUCUUAACAGCUCAAAGAACUUUGAGCUGUUAAGAUCCUGAUGAAAGCCAUGAAGUUUGGCUGAAACGU